UUAUUUUCCAAAAACAUAAUACGUUCCGAGAUGUUUGGCUGAAAGAGAUGCACUGUGAGACUAACUUCCGCUGGAUCGAUUGACUUUUCGACGGGUUAAUUGCCAGACCGGAAAAAGCUUUUUCAAAAACAAUUUUUAAAAUGCAACAUUUUGACAUACCUUCAAAUAAAUUCAAUGUAACAAGUAUCAUUUCCCCGUAACGUCUGUCUAUGACGUACCUCGCACUUCCAAGCUUGUUGCCCCUCAAUUGCGCAUUACCGUCGAGGAUACAAGUGUGCAGGUGUGUCCUAAUUCACCGAAGGGCUGUCACCCAGCCCAAACAAACGGUGCAGUACAAAACCCAUGAAGCAGACACUUCGUUGAUUGAUAAAUUGCGAUUUUAUAUGCUGUGGUUUUUAUCAUUUAUGUAGCAGCCAGUAUAGUUAAUGCCUAAUAGUCACAAAAAGAAAGAAAAAAUGAGUACCGGUCGUAAGCGCUUGUUUUACAAGUUGGUCUGAAACCGUAUUUGCCUUUAUUUUCAAAUCUAUACCGCCACCGAUUCCCGUUGUCUUUUAUUUUGAACUAUAUCCCACCACUUCCUGCCUGGCAGUGCACCUGGUCUGUCAGUGCACCUCCCUUGCAAAAAAGAGGGGGGAACUACCUUUUGCUGUUGUUUUUGCUCAGGAUCCACGAGGAAGCGUCAGUUCCACGUACACGAUGAAACUUUUUCACCAAAAGCACAAAGUUCCGUUCUGUGAAAGCGGAGCCGCCAUGUAUGGAUUUCACACUCAUUUGGUGCGCAGUUGUUUUCGUAUUAGAAAUGUGAUUUGGCGCACGUGCACAAGGGGCCAAAAAAAAAAAAAAAAGUGUCAGAGCAGCUUGCGGAUCAAAGAGUGCAACUGAUAGGACUGCUGACUUGAUGUUGUUUUGUACAAGAAUGUGCCAUUCUCUCUUUAGUUCUCCUUUAUGAUUUCUUGGUCAAGAAUGAAGGUUGAGUGCCUUUUAAAAAAAAACAAAAAUCGAUACGAAUAGAUAAUUCGAUUUCUGGGCGCUGUUGAUCAGCCUGAUGACAUGAUCUCUGUUAACUUAUUGAACAAGAUGUAAAUUGUGUAAAGGUGCGCGCUGGUGGAUGACACUUGCUUUGUUGAUUCAUGAAACCUUUUUGUUUUUUUUAAAAAUGUGCUCGUUCCAUCCUAUUUGUUACUGAGAGGCAGUUGGGAUUUGAAGGGAAAUGUGAUGUGAUUUACCGCUCUGGAUUUAGAUUAAAGCUUCAUUUUGUAGCGUA